AAUGAACGUUGGCGGCGUGGAUUAGGCAUGCAAGUCGAGCGAGAAGUUUACUUCGGUAAAUGGACAGCGGCGAAAGGGACAGUAAUGUGUAGGUACCUACCCCCCGAUCUGGGAUAGCUGCGGGAAACUGCAGGUAAUACCGGAUAAUGUCUUCGGACCAAAGGUGUGAUUCCGUCAGGGGAGGGGCCUGCAUCCUAUUAGCUUGUUGGUGAGGUAAUGGCUCACCAAGGCAACGAUGGGUAGCGGGUGUGAGAGCAUGACCCGCGUCAUUGGGACUGAGACACUGCCCAGACAUCUACGGAUGGCUGCAGUCGAGAAUCUUCGGCAAUGGGCGAAAGCCUGACCGAGCGACGCCGCGUGCGGGAUGAAGGCCUUCGGGUUGUAAACCGCUGUCGUUGGGGAGGAAAUGCAAAAGGGUUAUCCCUUCUGUUUGACCGAUCCAAGGAGGAAGUACGGGCUAAGUUCGUGCCAGCAGCCGCGGUAAGACGAACCGUACGAACGUUAUUCGGAAUUACUGGGCUUAAAGGGUGCGUAGGCUGCACGGAAAGUUGGGUGUGAAAGCCCUCAGCUCAACUGAGGAAUUGCAUCCAAAACUGCCGU
rnacentral:rRNA from 1 species